GCUGCGUGAAGCUGAAGACCCAGAAGGAGACAGAACACAGCUGCAUGAUGGAAGAGACCUUGAAAUUGAAGAUAUUAAAGAAAUUUCCCUUGAUGCCAUAUUUAGUGAAGAUGACUUUGAUUCAGUUGGAGAUGAUUUAGACAGUGAUGGAUAUCUAUCAGAGGAGGGAAGUUGUGCAGAUAUGGGUGAAACUGAAAGUGCGAGUUAUCUAGAAGACAACAAUA
rnacentral:misc_RNA from 1 species